rfam:Morus notabilis contig9113, whole genome shotgun sequence.
GAACUAUGAUGAAUUAAGCGCUGAGUGUGAUAGGUGGGGUCUAUCACAACCGUCCGAUUCUUCCGACGAAAUCAAGCGCAUCUGAGCUU